rnacentral:rRNA from 1 species
UACAGAGGUCUCAAGCGUUGUUCGGAUUCAUUGGGCGUAAAGGGUGCGUAGGCGGCGCGGUAAGUCGGGUGUGAAAUCUCGGAGCUUAACUCCGAAACUGCAUUCGAUACUGCCGUGCUUGAGGACUGGAGAGGAGACUGGAAUUUACGGUGUAGCGGUGAAAUGCGUAGAUAUUGUAAGGAAGACCAGUGGCGAAGGCGGGUCUCUGGACAGUUCCUGACGCUGAGGCACGAAGGUCAGGGGAGCAAACGGG